rnacentral:rRNA from 1 species
ACGAAGGGUGCAAGCGUUAAUCGGAAUUACUGGGCGUAAAGCGUGCGUAGGCGGUUUCUUAAGUCCGUUGUGAAAGCCCUGGGCUCAACCUGGGAAUGGCAGUGGAUACUGGGAAGCUAGAGUCAGGUAGAGGGUGGUGGAAUUCCCGGUGUAGCGGUGAAAUGCGUAGAGAUCGGGAGGAACAUCCGUGGCGAAGGCGGCCACCUGGACCAUGACUGACGCUGAGGCACGAAAGCGUGGGGAGCAAACAGGA